rnacentral:rRNA from 1 species
GACGAACGCUGGCGGCGUGCCUAAUACAUGCAAGUCGAGCGAAGUUUUUCUGGUGCAUGCACUAGAAAAACUUAGCGGCGAACGGGUGAGUAACACGUAAAGAACCUGCCUCAUAGACGGGGACAACUAUUGGAAACGAUAGCUAAUACCGGAUAACAGCAUAAAUCGCAUGAUAUAUGUUUAAAAGUUGGUUUCGGCUAACACUAUGAGAUGGCUUUGCGGUGCAUUAGCUAGUUGGUGGGGUAAAGGCCUACCAAGGCGACGAUGCAUAGCCGACCUGAGAGGGUGAUCGGCCACACUGGGACUGAGACACGGCCCAG